UACGAACCGUACAAACGUUAUUCGGAAUCACUGGGCUUAAAGGGUGCGUAGGCGGCCAUGUAAGUGAGGUGUGAAAUCCCUCGGCUCAACCGAGGAACUGCGCUUCAUACUGCAUGGCUUGAGGGAGACAGGGGUAAGCGGAACUGAUGGUGGAGCGGUGAAAUGCGUUGAUAUCAUCAGGAACACCGGUGGCGAAAGCGGCUUACUGG
rnacentral:rRNA from 1 species